GGUUGUAAACUGCUUUUGUACGGAACGAAAAAGCUUCUCCUAAUACGAGAGGCCCAUGACGGUACCGUAAGAAUAAGCACCGGCUAACUACGUGCCAGCAGCCGCGGUAAUACGUAGGGUGCGAGCGUUAAUCGGAAUUACUGGGCGUAAAGCGUGCGCAGGCGGUUAUGUAAGACAGAUGUGAAAUCCCCGGGCUCAACCUGGGAACUGCAUUUGUGACUGCUUGGCUAGAGUACGGUAGAGGGGGAUGGAAUUCCCCGUGGCGCACUG
rnacentral:rRNA from 1 species